CCGGGGGGGAAAAAACACACACAGCCAGCAAACAAGAAGGAUGCCGCAGGGAGGGGAAAUGAAAAAGAAACUAGUCCCUUUGAACCGAAAAUGAGUUCCCCGUCUAACCGAAUCAAAAAUUAAAGCUGAGGUACAGGCAAAUAAAGAAACGAAACUAAAGAUGAAGAAUUUCGAAAUUCUGUUGAGUAUUUACAGAAGAAAUUGGCAA